UUAUGCUUUAUAAUGCAAAUUGGAUCUUCAAGUAUGGUAUGCUUUAUUAUGCUUUACGCUAAAUGAUUUACGCUUGAUUACGCUUAUUUACGCUUGAAUGCUUUAUGCUGAUAAGUUUAUGCCUGUGAUUGAUGCUUGCGUCUGUUGGGGGAGGCCUCCCUCAACAGUACGAUGCCGUGUCCGCUGAGGAGGGCCUUCCUCACGGCGCGAUGCCCGUGUCCGCUGAGGGAGGCCUCCCUAGCGGCGCGAUGCCAGUAUUCCAGUGUUACAGCGUCUAUUGGGGGAGGCCUCCCUCAAUAGUACGAUGCCGUGACCGCUGAGGGAGGCCCCCUUCACGGCGCGAUGCCCGUGUUCGUUGGGGAAGGCCUUCUCCACGACACGAUGCGUGUUGAUGAUUGUUAAUGAUGAAGAAUGCGC
rnacentral:lncRNA from 1 species